AUUGAACGCUGGCGGAAUGCUUUACACAUGCAAGUCGAACGGCAGCACGGACUUCGGUCUGGUGGCGAGUGGCGAACGGGUGAGUAAUAUAUCGGAACGUGCCCAGUCGUGGGGGAUAACGUAGCGAAAGCUACGCUAAUACCGCAUACGAUCUACGGGUGAAAGCGGGGGAUCGCAAGACCUCGCGCGAUUGGAGCGGCCGAUAUCAGAUUAGGUAGUUGGUGAGGUAAAGGCUCACCAAGCGGACGAUCUGUAGCUGGUCUGAGAGGACGAACAGCCACACUGGGACGGAGACACGGCCCAGACUCCUACGGGAGGCAGCAGUGGGGAAUUUUGGACAAUGGACGCAAGUCUGAUCCAGCCAUUCCGCGUGCAGGACGAAGGCCUUCGGGUUGUAAACUGCUUUUGUACAGAACGAAAAGGUCUCUAUUAAUACUAGGGGCUCAUGACGGUACUGUAAGAAUAAGCACCGGUUAACUACGUGCCAGCCGCCGCAGUAA
rnacentral:rRNA from 1 species